rnacentral:rRNA from 1 species
GACGAACGCUGGCGGCGUGCUUAACACAUGCAGGUCGAACGGUGAAGCGCCUUCCUUUUUGGUGGGUGUGGAUGAGUGGCGAACGGGUGAGUAACACGUGAGUAACCUGCCCCCUUCUUCUGGAUAACCGCAUGAAAGUGUGGCUAAUACGGGAUAUUCUGGGUCUGUCGCAUGAUGGGUCUGGGAAAGAUAUUGUUUCGGUGGGGGAUGGGCUCGCGGCCUAUCAGCUUGUUGGUGGGGUGAUGGACUACCAAGGCGGUGACGGGUAGCCGGCCUGAGAGGGUGGGCGGUCACACUGGGACUGGGGCCCGGGCCAGACUGCUACGGGCCGCAGCCGUGCGGGAUGCUGCAAACGGGGCGCUAGGGUAAUGCGGCAGCGCCGGGCGGGGGAAGGCGGCCUUCGGGUUGAGGGCCUUUUUGGUGUGUGGAGCAGGCGUGGGUGGACUGUGCGUGAGGUGACGUUAGCUCGAUAAGAAGCGCCGGCUAACUACGUG